rnacentral:rRNA from 1 species
AUUGAACGCUGGCGGCAGGCCUAACACAUGCAAGUCGAGCGGAUGAGUGGAGCUUGCUCCAUGAUUCAGCGGCGGACGGGUGAGUAAUGCCUAGGAAUCUGCCUAGUAGUGGGGGACAACGUUUCGAAAGGAACGCUAAUACCGCAUACGUCCUACGGGAGAAAGUGGGGGAUCUUCGGACCUCACGCUAUCAGAUGAGCCUAGGUCGGAUUAGCUAGUUGGUGAGGUAAAGGCUCACCAAGGCGACGAUCCGUAACUGGUCUGAGAGGAUGAUCAGUCACACUGGAACUGGGACACGGUCAAGACUCCUACGGGAGGCAGCAGUGGGGAAUAUUGGACAAUGGGCGAAAGCCUGAUCCAGCCAUGCCGCGUGUGUGAAGAAGGUCUUCGGAUUGUAAAGCACUUUAAGUUGGGAGGAAGGGCAGUAAGUUAAUACCUUGCUGUUUUGACGUUACCAACAGAAUAAGCACCGGCUAACUUCGUGCCAGCCGCCGCCGUAACAC